rfam:Ailuropoda melanoleuca scaffold3618_5, whole genome shotgun sequence.
GUGGGCAUCUUACCGGACAGUGCUGGAUUUCUUGGCUUGACUCUAACACUGUCUGGUAACGAUGUUCAA